rnacentral:lncRNA from 1 species
GCUUCCCUCCGAGCAGGGUGGCAUUUGAUCUGGGGCCACCGAUCCUGCCCCGGCACAGCCUCGCGUCCCCGCGGCAGGAGCGCAGAGCCGGGGCUCGGGGAGCUUGGCAGCCACGGCCGGGGACCCCGGGAGCCCGAGGAGCCCGAGGAGCCCGAGGAGCCCGAGGAGCCCGGCAGCAGCCGCGUCCGGUCUGGCCCCCUGCCGGCCGAGCGCGCCCCGGGGCGGGGAGGGUCCGGGGCGGGAGGGUCCGGGCCGGGGCCCCGCGCCGCCCUCACAGCGAGGGGUGACCCUGGCCGCCAGGGUCCGCGUGGGGGGCGCUGCCCGACCUCCGCGUCGUCCUCCGCGGCGCGGCCAGGGAGCGGGACGGCCCUGCCCCGCCGCGGAGCCCCUGGAUCCGCAGCCGCGGCCGGGAAGGCAGGCCGGCGCCCCCCGCGAUUCGGGUCCCAGCCGCCGGCACCGCCGAGCACACCCGGCUCUGCCGUCACCCCGCAGCUCCGCCCGCGCCGUGCGCAGCCCCGGGCCCGAGCCCGAGCCCAGCCGGCGCCCCCCCCCAGCAGCCGGUGCCCCCCCGGCCCCCGCCCCCCGCCGGUGUCCCCCGGCCCCCCGCCCCCCCAGCCGGUGCCUGCCCCCCCGCCGGCGCCCCCCCGCCCCCCGCCGGUGCCCCCCCAGCGGGUGCCCCCCCAGCCGGCGCCCCCCCCCCCCCGCCCCGACUCAGCCGAGCCCGCCGCGCUGCAGGCUGCGCCGCCCGGUCCCGCAGCCCCCGCGCGCAGCCCCGCGCCCCGACUCGGCUUUACCCUUCCCGCCGGGCACCCGGGGCCUCCAUGCUCCUGGGCGACGGCGAGCGCCGGCCGAGCGGCGGUGGCGGGCGGGUGCGGGCGGCCAGCCGGAGCCGGCUCUGCAGUCCCGCGGGCGGCGCGUACCGAGCGCCCCGCCGCCGCCCGCAGCCGCACCGCCCCCCGCGCCCGGCAGCGCCGCACCUGGCCCGGCAGCGAACUCCAAUUAAAGGGCCGGCGGGGCCCAGAGCCGAGCAGGUGGCCGAGCCCAGCUCACCGCAGACGCCUGGGGCCGCCGCUGGGGGGGUUAUGGGGGGCGCCGGCUGGGGGGGAGCAGGGGGGACGCCGGCUGGGGGGGGCAUGGGGGGCGCCGGCUGGGGGGGAGCAGGGGGGCGCCGGCUGGGGGGAGAGGGCGCCGGCUGGGGGGGUUAUGGGGGGCGCCGGCUGGGGGGGGCCAGGGCCACGAGCUGAGGGCGGGCGCAGGGUGUUGGCGUGCAGGACGCAGUGGCUGGCAGCUCUCCCGCGCGAGACGGGGUGUGCGGACCCCCCAGGCCGACCCCUCUGCUCCGGGCUCUGCACUCCCCCCUCCUCCCCCCGCCCCCCGCCCCCGGACCCAGCCCUUCCGUGGCUUGGAGCGAGGCGACGCAGCAGGUGUAAGGCCGCAGUGUGGCUGAAACCUGCUGCUGGGGGUCCUGCCAAGGAGCAGAGCUGCAGAGCCGGUGGGGGGGGGGUCGGCCUCCCUCCCUCCCUCCCCCAGGCUGCAGGGAAGGCUGUAUGCCCCCCCCCCCCCCCCCCCCCCCGCAAACGGUCUCUCUGCGGACUUUCACAGAGCCAGCUGGCCUGA